CAGUCGCCGCGGGAAUACGUAGGUCCCGAGCGUUGUCCGGAUUUAUUGGGCGUAAAGCGAGCGCAGGCGGUUAGAUAAGUCCGAAGUUAAAGGCUGUGGCUUAACCAUAGUACGCUUUGGAAACUGUUUAACUUGAGUGCAAGAGGGGAGAGUGGAAUUCCAUGUGUAGCGGUGAAAUGCGUAGAUAUAUGGAGGAACACCGGUGGCGAAAGCGGCUCUCUGGCUUGUAACUGACGCUGAGGCUCGAAAGCGUGGGGAGCAAACAGGAUUAGAUACCCCGGUAGUCCCUGUCUCUUAUACA
rnacentral:rRNA from 1 species